rnacentral:rRNA from 1 species
UACGGGGGGGGCAAGCGUUGUUCGGAAUUACUGGGCGUAAAGGGCGCGUAGGCGGCUCGCUAAGUCGGAUGUGAAAACUCUGGGCUCAACCCAGAGCCUGCAUUCGAAACUGACGAGCUCGAGUUCUGGAGGGGAAAGCGGAAUUCCUGGUGUAGCGGUGAAAUGCGUAGAUAUCAGGAGGAACACCGGUGGCGAAGGCGGCUUUCUGGACAGACACUGACGCUGAAGUGCGAAAGCUAGGGGAGCGAACGGG